rnacentral:rRNA from 1 species
AGUAGUUGGGCCGUUCCCCGUUCGGGGGGACAGGGUGACAGGUGGUGCAUGGUUGUCGUCAGCUCGUGUCGUGAGAUGUUGGGUUAAGUCCCGCAACGAGCGCAACCCUCGCCUCUAGUUGCCAGCAUUCGGUUGGGCACUCUAGAGGGACUGCCGGCGACAAGUCGGAGGAAGGUGGGGAUGACGUCAAAUCAUCAUGCCCCUUAUGACCUGGGCUACACACGUGCUACAAUGGGCGGUACAAAGGGUUGCCAAGCCGCGAGGUGGAGCUAAUCCCAUAAAACCGAUCGUAGUCCGGAUCGCAGUCUGCAACUCGACUGCGUGAAGUCGGAAUCGCUAGUAAUCGUGAAUCAGAAUGUCCACGGUCGAAUACGUUCCCGGGCCUU